rnacentral:rRNA from 1 species
CACGUAGGGCGCAAGCGUUGUCCGGAAUUAUUGGGCGUAAAGAGCUCGUAGGCGGCCUGUUGCGUCCGCUGUGAAAGCCCGGGGCUUAACCCCGGGUCUGCGGUGGAUACGGGCAGGCUAGAGGUAGGUAGGGGAGAAUGGAAUUCCCGGUGUAGCGGUGAAAUGCGCAGAUAUCAGGAGGAACACCGAUGGCGAAGGCAGGUCUCUGGGCAUUAACUGACGCUGAGGAGCGAAAGCAUGGGGAGCGAACAGG